GAUGAACGCUGGCGGCGUGCCUAAUACAUGCAAGUCGAGCGAAUGGAUUAAGAGCUUGCUCUUAUGAAGUUAGCGGCGGACGGGUGAGUAACACGUGGGUAACCUGCCCAUAAGACUGGGAUAACUCCGGGAAACCGGGGCUAAUACCGGAUAACAUUUUGAACCGCAUGGUUCGAAAUUGAAAGGCGGCUUCGGCUGUCACUUAUGGAUGGACCCGCGUCGCAUUAGCUAGUUGGUGAGGUAACGGCUCACCAAGGCAACGAUGCGUAGCCGACCUGGGAGGGUGAUCGGCCACACGGGGACUGAGACACGGCCCAGACUCCUACGGGAGGUGGCAGUAGGGAAUCUUCCGCAAUGGACGAAAGUCUGACGGAGCAACGCCGCGUGAGUGAUGAAGGCUUUCGGGUCGUAAAACUCUGUUGUUAGGGAAGAACAAGUGCUAGCUGAAUAAGCUGGCACCUUGACGGUACCUAACCAGAAAGCCACGGCUAACUACGUGCCAGCCGCCGCCGUAA
rnacentral:rRNA from 1 species